CGGUAUUUUGACCGUGCUAAGGUAGCAUAAUCAAUUGUUUUUUAAUUGAAAACUAGUAUGAACGGUUUAAUUUACUUAAUUAGUUUGUAAUUUUUAAUAGUAAGUUAAAUAUAAAGUAAGAAUUCUUUAAUAAAUUAGGGGACGAUAAGACCCUAAAAGCUUUAUGAUUGGCAUUUAAUUAGUGAUAGCGGUGUUAUUAAUUCACUGGGGCAGUGAGUUUAGGUAUAUUUAAGUAUAAUUAAAAGCUCCUUUAAAUAAAGAUUUCAUGUAUAAGUUACUUUAGGGAUAACAGUGCAAUAUAUU
rnacentral:rRNA from 1 species